rnacentral:rRNA from 1 species
UACGCAGGGGGCUAGCGUUGUUCGGAAUCACUGGGCGUAAAGGGCGCGUAGGCGGCCGAUCAAGUCGGAGGUGAAAUCCCUCGGCUCAACUGAGGAAUUGCCUUCGAUACUGUUCGGCUUGAGUCCUGGAGAGGGUAGCGGAAUUCCCGGUGUAGCGGUGAAAUGCGUAGAGACCGGGAAGAACACCAGUGGCGAAGGCGGCUACCUGGACAGGUACUGACGCUGAAGCGCGAAAGCUAGGGGAGCAAACAGG